rnacentral:rRNA from 1 species
UACAUAGGUCCCAAGCGUUGUUCGGAUUCAUUGGGCGUAAAGGGUGCGUAGGCGGCGCGGUAAGUCGGGUGUGAAAUCUCGGAGCUUAACUCCGAAACUGCAUUCGAUACUGCCGUGCUUGAGGACUGGAGAGGAGACUGGAAUUUACGGUGUAGCGGUGAAAUGCGUAGAUAUCGUAAGGAAGACCAGUGGCGAAGGCGGGUCUCUGGACAGUUCCUGACGCUGAGGCACGAAGGUCAGGGGAGCAAACGGG